rnacentral:RNase_P_RNA from 2 species
UAGCAAUGGCAGGCAAUCGCCUGAUCUCUCGGGAUCAGGAGGAAAGUCCGGACUCCGCAUGGCAACACAGGGGGUAACGCCCCUCCACCGUAAGGUGAGGACCAGUGGAACAGAAAGAAUGUCCAGAGCUAUGAUCCUUUAGCCGGGAACGGGAGGCUUUAGGGGAGCUGCUGGAGUGAAAACAGCUAAACUCUGUGUGGAGCAAGAUCAAAUAGGAAAGUGCUUGAGUGCGGCCAGCACAAGCUUUCGGGUAGAUCGCUAAAGACAUCAGGCAACUGAGGUCGUAGAGGAAUGAUUGCCCCAAUCUCAAGAUUCUCCAGGGCUUGAGAUUGAGACAGAAUCCGGCUUACAGCCACUGCUAAUAU